GACAUACAGGUGUCACAAUGUUAUCCACCCAUCCGACAUUUAUUAAAUAUCGGAUCGACGGAUAAGAUUGCGCCACGUGUCCCUAUUUAGGCUUCUGUUAGAGUGAAGGGCAUAUUUGCUCUAGUUUUUGGACAACAGGGGCACCAAUGUCCCAAAAGUAUGACGGAGGGUAUCUGCAUACCAUUUACGAUAGUUCAGGGGUAUAUUUGUCCUUUUUCCGUUUCCUAAUUGCUACAAGCAGCAUCUAACUCUAAUCACCAGCAACUCAAAAUUGAUGCUAGUUGUAGCAAUUAUGGUGCUUUCAAAAUCUUAUGCGCUAGAUGUUUUCUGCAAAGUGGGUUAGGUUAUUGUGGGUCUGUUGAUCUUCACUUGUACUACAUUUGUAGAAGAAAUCUGAAUAGUCACGCAAUAAUGACAAUUAACAAUCAUAGUUUCUUUACCUUGAAACUAUACAAUAUUUGCAUCUUAACCUUCUAAGUUAUGGAGGGUUGUCAAUUUUUAAUGGUUAAGUGCAUGGGCCUCCUCCACUUCCUUGGCUGAAGUUUUCCUUAUGAAGAAAAAAAAUAUAUGUCGAGAACUAGAGGAGGCGGUGGCAAAUAUUAACUUGUAUGUCAUUCCUGUUUAUCCUUUUCAUGUAAUGGAACUCAUAAAAGAUGAAAUCUGAGUUGGUAACCGAGUGGAGGUUAGUUGAACUUAAACAUUGGAAAUAUGUCAACCUUUUGAUGGUUGACCUAUGACAUGAAAUCUGAGUUGGUAACCGAGUGGAGGUUAGUUGAACUUAAACAUUGGAAAUAUGUCAACCUUUUGAUGGUUGACCUAUGACAUGAAAUCUGAGUUGGUAACCGAGUGGAGGUUAGUUGAACUUAAACAUUGGAAAUAUGUCAACCUUUUGAUGGUUGACCUAUGACAUGAUCUUUGUUUUCUAGAUUGUGAAAGCGAGAAAAAAAAAAGAAAAAGAAAAUUAUAGUCAAGUAUUAUCUCUGUUCUUUGUUUUAAGGAGACAAUAGAAUGUUUAUACUUUAGUCACAUUAUUGACAUUUACUUGUUAGCCAGUUAAUAAUCCUGCCAACAUUAUGGUAUUUGAAAUGUUCCAGGAGAUUAUUCUUGUAGAAGGGCUGAAGCUGGAUGAUAUAGAAGCUGGCUUGUACACUGUACACUGUCUGCCCUUAAGGUUGCUUGGUGCGGAGGGAUCACCUAUUAGAUGUAUACUGAUUAAGUAACACUCUCCUCGUAUCUCCCUCAACCAUAAGGUACUUUUAAACAUGUUGCCUUGUAUGUCUUAUCUUUUUUGAUAAAUAACAUGUUACCUUUUAUGCUGUCUUGUUCAGUGUGAAAAACUUUCAAUCUGAUCUUGGUUAUUGCAUCUCCUCGCUAUUAAUUUCUUGGGUAUACCAUACUUGAAUCCAUUUGAUCUGACGGCCCCAUAAUACAUAGCAUGAAAUUUUAUAUCCUUUUCUUUUCUUCUUGGUUGUGUACUCUUCACUCUGUUUGCUUGGAUAAAUUGCUGCAGGAAGCACUGCACUGGAGAUAGCGUUGAAUAAGAAAAAGUGCUGCAAAGGGAACAUAUUCUCAGAGUAGUUUAGGCUGUAAUUGUUAUCAGCUGUUACGCUGAAAACGCGUUGCAUGAGCAAAUAAUCUGCGGUUUUCAUGUUAUGUCUUAUGGUUUUAUGGAUUGACAGUGUCAUCAACAUAUUUAGAUCCAAGUUAUUUUUGUUUUAAGGUGAUGAUGUUUACUGUCGUCAUUAUAUUGCUUUCGACAGGAGAGGAAAAUUUCAU
rnacentral:lncRNA from 1 species